AUUAAUUACCACGCCUACAUUUAAAAUGACUACUGAUUGCGAGCGAGACUGAUUCAGUGAUUGUCUCCCUUCUCUUGCUUCUCUUCUCAAAAUGGAAGGCUCUGAUGGCAGCACUGGGAGUAUCGGGUCAUCCUCAAAAUGUUCAUUGUCACCUCCUUUAGAGUCGAAAGACCUUCCUUGUACUAGACGAGCCAUGUUUCUCAAAAUACAAUGUAUAUAGAUCUAAAUUUUUCCAAAGUAUUUCAAACACAACAACUUUGCAAGUUUUGUACAUCAGCUUAAUGAGACAUAUUCUUACAAUGAUCCAAUCACUGAACUGAUUGACUGUCUCUUUGUUAAGUAUGACUUCAAUGCAGCACAAGACAGACUGAACGAGGAU